UGGCUUGGCGUCUCAUUACGUAGUUAGCUUGUGCCGAGUGAAUGUGUGAAGCAGCAGUUGGAGUUUUUUUGGGUGCAAUUCUGAGGUCAACACAAAUUAACAUAUUUUGCCCAGUCAAAGCUGUUAAGGACCAAUCCAUAAGACAGAUAGACAAGGGAGGUCUUGACUGUUGUGUGUGUGAGGUCUCUAUAGAGUAAGGAGAGAGAGUUGGUUUGUAGUAAAUUGUAUCGAUUAUUUUUUUUUACAGUAUAUUUUUAAUAUAAAGUUCAAAUGUAAAUAUAUAAAUUAGAAAAAAAAUUAAUAAAUUUCAAAAAAAAUAAUUUAAAAAUUUGGAUUUUCUUUUUAUAUUUUACUAUUUACCUAUUUUUUUUCUGAAUAACAUUUACUUGGUAGUUUGUUUAUUUUUUAAGUGAGAAAUACACAAAAUGGAUGGUUUAUCGAUGCUUUACCGAUGUCGGCUGAUGAAUUGAGUACUGCUUGAUCCCGUGAACAAUGAAACUUGCUGAAACUAACUACAUAUUCUUCUACUACUACCCUGCACAACUCGUUCAUGUGAAACACCCUCCUUGAACAAGUGUGGUCAAAAACGAACAAUGACAUAUUCAUUCUGGUAACAAACACUCCAAAAUAUUUAUUUCGUACAAAAAGAAAACAUGGGGAAAUAAGGGAAUACAGGGGUACACAUAAUCGAACAAAUUUAAGUAUAUCGCAGGUACCCACCCGUCUUGAAUAUGAGAUUCAAGCCGUAUACGGGCAGUUAAAUGCAGAACGACGACUACACAGGCUGCAGAGAUGAUAAUGCUGAAUGAAUCUUUACAACCAAUGGAAGGUUACUAAAUUCUGGUAUUUGAGCUGAUCGUAGCGAAACUUUGAAAAUGCCCCGCAUGUAGGAAAAUGGUGUCUGGCCAGGUAUUAUUGUGUAUAAUGAAUGCAGUACUAUAUAAGGGGAUAUAGAGAAAGGGUGUGGGGUACGUUAAUGUAAUUAGUAUGAUACAGGUUCGUUUGAAUAUAAGAUUCAAGCGGUUUACUGAGAGACAAAGAUAACGAAGAUAACGAACACCUUAAAAAUAACAAAUAACUGACACCAAGGUUUAAGAGCAACACUUAGGGUUUAUCAUUCUGACUAAAUUGAAAUAACAAAGGUCCACAUUGGUCUUACAAGGAAUCAUUUUCCUCCUAAAUGUUUCUCCAAUCGUUCGAGAUUGGAAUCUUAAGUUUAUUUAUAAACUUGAAUAAUCUCUUGGAGUAUAAAUGUUUGUUACACACUCAAAUGGUUCAUUAUACAAAAAUUGAUCAAUUUUUGGUUCAUUCACAAUAAAUAUUUAAUCAUUUUAUUUCACACCGGGGGAUCACCAGAUCUAUAAUAAGUCACUUUAUUACCAUGGCACUACAUACUAUCAUUAUCGAAAACAAAAUGUCGACUAUCUUCAGAGACAAGUAAUGGUUCGCUGAAUAUGUCCAAUUCCUGAAUAUUGUGUUUACUGUAAAGAGGAGAAUAUAAGGGCCUAGAUCAUCUUAAACUUGUUUGAAAAAAUUUAUUUUGACGAUGAAAAAUUGUUCACUAAAAUUUGAUUUUUUGGAUAUGACGAGAAUUUAUUUAUUCGAAACGUGUCCAGCUAAGUAUUCACGUAAAUUUAUGAAUUUGGUAUCGUUUUUUGGUCUUUGAUUUCAGUUGAUGCAAUUUCGGAAAAAAACGUCAAAGGACCCCGCUUUUAAAGUUGAUAGAUUUUUGGAUACCAAUUUUCUAAUACAAAACGGCAGUCAUAGUUCUUCAUUGAGCUAAGUAUUAAGCUAAUCAUGUUGGAUGUUGGUAGUGUUUGAUAUAAAAUUUCAGUUAAUACACAACUCUGUAAUCUUGGACCAACUCCAGAAGUACAAGUUUAUGCCGAUGAACUACAAAUUAGAGAGAUUUGAGCCACCUAAUACAUUCGUAGUAUCAAAAAUAUUCAUUAUGUUUUGGUAUCAUCGUGUGAAAAUCGAUCAAAUAUAAUCCAAUUUGCAGGAAUGGUUCUUAAGAACUUUUUGGAAAGACUCGUUGUUAAUUCCGGUACCAAUUUUAAAAUGACCAACAAAUUAUGUAACGCAGACUCAAUUUUAACAAAUCAAUCAAGGUACUUUUUCCAUUAUUUUGGUGUGGAUACGUUCCUAAUUCUUUUAGAUACAGAUAGAGAAAUAUAUUUUAAUUGACUUCGAUACAAGCUAAGUAAUUGAUUACGAUUUGAUUAUAAAUUAUUUUGGAGAGAAGGGAAGGAGAAAGAUAACCAUUUUAGUUACAGAAAUCCUGUUUUUUUUUUAAUAACUCUACUGGUAGGCCUCAGACAUGAAAUAAGACAAAAAUCACCAAAAUCGAAUUAUUAUAAAAAAGGGAUCUUCAAAUUAAACUUAAUUCAAGCCAUGAAAUGAGAGAUGAAAAUUAAACAACUUGAAAUCACAGCUAACGAGAGAAAAGAGUAUCAAAGAAAACACUAAAUUUGUACAUUAGCGUAAAACGGAAAAUUCGAUCAAACAUUUUCAAAUUUUCAGGAAUGGUUUAAACAACUCUUAUAUGACCAUUCAAUUAUGGAUUUUAUAUAGUUUUUUGGAAAGACGCGUUUUAUUAAUUCUCGCAAGUCCCUACCGAAAUUGUUUCCAAAGAUAGAACAAGCAGAUAAAUUUUAUCAGGAGUCAGUAAAGGUACUUUUUUCCGUUAUUUUAAAUGCGGAUACGUUCCUAAUCAUUUCAGUUACAGAAAUAUUUUCUAAAAGAGGAGUCUUAAGUAAAUUUAUAAAUUUUUUGGAGAUAAAGGGACCAAGGGAAGCAGAUAUGCCAUGCCCCACUUAAUUCACAGUCAGUCAAGGUACUUUUUUCCGUUUUUUUGAUGCGGAUAUGUUCCUAAUCAUUUCAGUUACAGAAAUAUUUCUAAAAGAGGAGUCUUUUAAGUAAAUUUAUAAAUUUUUUGGAGAUUAAGGGAACAAGGGAAGCAGAUAUGCCCACUUAAUUCACAGUCAGUCAAGGUACUAUUUUCCGUUUUUUUGAUGCGGAUACGUUCCUAAUCAUUUUAGUUACAGAAAAUAUUAAAGUUUAUAUAAAUAUUUUGGAGAAAAAGGCAGCCGAUAUCCAUUUAAGUUUCCAAAACGUUUCAUAAGCUAUAGAAAAAGACACCCAUGAAAUUACCCGACUUAACAGCAAUCACAAAAUCAUUAUUCAUUCUUCACACAUGGGUAUGUUCCAAAAAAAAAAUUCGUACCGUAACCGUUUUAGUUACAGAGCGUCUACAACAAAUUUUCCACGAAAACUAUGAAAAUAUUUCUCAAAAACUCAUUCAUUAUCGAUAAAAAAAGGGAUAAGUACUGGUUAAUUUCUUAUUUUGUUGAACAUACGAACCAUAACAAUCUCGGUUACAGACGUAUUGAAAACUUGCAGUAAAAAGCGUAUCUAAGAUUUUGCAACACUAAAAUAUUUGCUGAAUUCAAGAUCAAAAAUUUUUUCUGAAAAUUAAGGUACUGUUAUGCAAAUAUAUUUUUUUGUAAACCGUAUAUGUAGACAUCCUAGAAAAGUAAGAACUAUUGACCAUAAGGAUUGACUUUAAAAAAAGUAAUAAGUUAGGUAAAGUAUAAGUAGUACGGCAAUUGUGUUGCCAUAAUCAUUUUGGUUGCAGAAUUUCAUCAAUUUAGAAUUUUAAAACAAUACAGUAAAAAUUAUAAAAAGUCCGUUUUUUUAACUCAUUUCUGGAGCAAAAAUUACGAAAUCAAAUGAAAAAACAUUUCGAAGGAUUACAGAUUCGCAAGUAUACAAAAAAAAUUCUCUUAACCUGUUGUAAAAAUUUUCUUGCAUGCUUUUCUUUCUGGUAAAUGUCUUAAAACAUUUACCUGUUACCAAAUAAUCUAUUUUUUAAGGAGGAUAAAUGCAAAUUUUUUAAAAAUAUAGAAGUACUAUGUUCAAAUUGUAUCCAUAAAAUCACUUGAAGAAUUCGAAUUCUGCCUAAAGAGCAAAACAUAACAAUAUUUUUAACAAAAAGUAAGAAAAAGGCUGAUAUUUAAAGAGUAGAAAAAGUCUGGUAUUUGAAGUAAAAGUAGAAAAAGGCUGGUAUUUUGAAGUGAGAGUAGAAAAGAAGGCUGGUAUUUGAAGUGAGAGUAGAAAAGAAGGCUGGUAUUCGAAGAAUUUACAUCAAAUAGAAAGAUUGGAGUAAGUCCAAAAAUUUUCUCAAUUUUCCUAAUGAUUGUAUUCAAUGGAAUGAAAUGUAAAUAUUAUUGCCAUAAAGUGAAAUGUAAUUAUGCAAUGAAAUGUUACUAUAAUUAUGUAUUGUGAUGAAAUACGUGUCUCAAAUAUUUAAGGACAAACGUUAAUAUCAGAAAAUUUAGGGACUAGAUGUGAUUGUGAGUGAGAGUUGAGAGUUGGAAAGUUGGUUUGGGUGUCCCAGUUGGUGUUUAGGUUGCUGGUUCUUCAAUUAGCAGAUGAUUGGUUGAUGGAGUUAAUUUGGUUACAUUAAAUAAAAUGGGAAAAUCCUUCUUUUGAUUCACUUUGCGAACGAGCUGUAUUGAUUAUAAAAUUCACCAUAAAGAUUAUUUUUGGAAGGAAUAUCAUCAUAUGACAAAAUUUUGAUUUAUCUGAAAAAAAUUCGAGUGAUAAUGGAGGCAUUCAACCGUUAUUUUGGGGAAUUUUGAAAAUCAAAUAUAUUUGGUUACGGAAAAUUUUUUGUGCCUCCAUGUAUUUUCAAAUGAUGCCUGAGCAUGUUAUGGAAUUGAUAAAUAUGUAAAAAUAUUACCUUCAUAUUAUGAAAAUGUAGUUUAUCGUCGAAAUAAGAAAAGUUGAACAAAGAAAACGAAAUUAUGUAAGAAUGGAAAAUUUUCUAUCAAAUUAAUGAAUGGCUGUGAAUUCUGGACUUUGACUAUGGGUUGAAUAACAGAAAAGAAAUGAAAAAUUUAAGAUUCCAUUAGUAAAUUGUUAGCGUAUGAUGGAAGAUCAGAGAAUUUGUUGAAAUGAUGGUAGAAUCGUGAACAUGUCAAGCGGGUGACGGUAGAAUGGUGAACCAAUCAGAGAGUGUUGUUAUAGAAUGGUGACUUUGUCCAGCGUAUGAUGGUAGAUUGGUGAAUUUGUCAACAGAUGAUGAUAGAUUGGUGAAUUUGUCAACGGAUGAUGGUAGAUUGGUGAAUUUGUCAACGGAUGAUGGUAGAUUGGUGAAUUUUUCAACGGAUGUUGGUAGAUUGGUGAAUUUUUCAACGGAUGUUGGUAGAUUGGUGAAUUUUUCAACGGAUGAUGGUAGAUUGGUGAAUUUGUCACCGGAUGAAUGUAGAGGUCUGAAUUUGUCACCGGAUGAAUGUAGAGUGCUGAGUCAACGGAUGAUGGUAGAGUGCUGAAUUUUAAUGGAUGAUGGUAGAUUGGUGAAUUUAUCAACGAAUUAUUUUAGAUUGGUGAAUAUAUCAGCGGAUGAUGGUUAGAAUGGGGAAUUUAUCAGCAGGCCACUGUAGAAUGACAACUUUACAAGCGGACGAUAAUAAAAUGGGUGAAUUUGUCAACGGGUGAUGAUGAAUUGGUGAAUUUGUCAACGCAUGAUGGUACAGUGGUGAACUUGUCAACGGAUGAUGGUACAGUGGUGAAUUUGUCAACGAAUUAUGGUACAGUGGUGAAUUUGUCAACGGAUAAUGGUACAGUGGUGAAUUUGUCAAAGGAUGAUGGUACAGCGGUGAAUUUGUCAAAGGAUGAUGGUACAGCGGUGAAUUUGUCAAAGGAUGAUGGUAGAGUGCUGAAUUUUAACGGAUGAUGGUAGAUUGGUGAUUUUUAACGGAUGAUGGUAGAUUGGUGAAUUUCAAUGGAUGAUGGCAGAUUGGUGAUGGUAAAUUGGCUGAUUUUUCAACGUAUGAUGAUAGAUUGGUGUAUUUGUCAACGGGUGAUGGUAGAUUGGUGUAUUUGUCAUCGAAUGAUAGUAGAUUGGUGAAUUUGUCAUCGAAUGAUGGUAGAUUGGUGAAUUUGUCAACGGAUAUUUGAUGUAGUUGGCAGCGGAUUGUGCAGAAUGAACUUGGCAAAGAAUCGUAGAAAAUGAAGAGUCUGGGUAGCAGUUCGUGGCGAAUGAAAAUUGUCAGCGGCUUAUGGUUGAUGAAAAUUUUUAGCUGCUCGUAGAGGGUUAAUGGAAGAUCGUCAGCGGUUCGUGGAUGCUGAAGAUCGUCAGCGGUUCGUGGAUGCUGAAGAUCGUCAGCGGUUCGUGGAUGCUGAAGAUUGUCAGCGGUUCGUGGAUGCUGAAGAUUGUCAGCGGUUCGUGGAGGAGGAAGAGCGUCAGCGGUUCGUGGAGGAUGAAGAUCGUCAGCAGUUCGUGGAGAAGGUUGUCAACGGAUUGUAGAAAGAAGAACGUGGUAUUGGACUGUUGGAGAAAAAGAAGCGCGACAGUGAACGUGGAGAGUGAUACACACGACAGCGGUUUGUGGAGGGCCCAGAACGCGGUAGCGGAUCGUGGAUGAUGAAGAACGUGGUAGCGGAACUUGGAUGAUGAAGAACGCGGAUUGGAUCGUGGAGGAUGAAUGUGGUAGCGGAUCGUGGCGGAUCGUGGCGGAUGAAGAACGUGGUAGCGGAUCGUCGAGGUUGAAGAACGUGGUAGCGGAUCGUCGAGGUUGAAGAACGUGGCAGCGGAUCGUGGAGGAUGAAGAACGUGGUAGCGGAUCGUGGAGGAUGAAGAACGUGGUAGAGGAUCGUGGAGGAUGAACAACGUGAUGAUUCAGCCAGAUUGCGGCAGCGGACGUGUUGACAACAGAAUGACAACGGAUCGUGGUGCACGCAACUUUAGAUUACUUGUAAUGUAAAAAAAUUUUUGUACACCUCGAGGUUUUCAUUUAAAAAAAUA